GGCAAUGUGGCGGAGUGGUUAACGCGAUAGACUUGAAAUCUAUUUCCUUCGGGAGCACAGGUUCGAACCCUGUCAUUGUCG
rnacentral:tRNA from 1 species